GGAGAUAAGUGGACGACGGUUGGGAUAAUAGGAUGUGUGCCAGUGUUAAUGGUGAUGGCUAGGCGUAAAGCGUGUGAUGGUGGUUGUUUAAGACAGAGGGGACAGCCCCGGGCUCAACAGUGGAACUGCGUUUGUGACGGCAAAGCUGGGGUGCGGCAGAGGGGGAGGGAAUUCCGGGUGUAGCAGUGAAAUGCGUAGCUAUGCUGAGGAACACCGAUGGCGAAGGCAAUCCCCUGGGCCUGCACUGACGCUCAUGCACGAAAGCGUGGGGAGCAAACAGGAUUAGAUACCCGGGUAGUC
rnacentral:rRNA from 1 species